AAAACAACGAUCUUUGUUCUCCAUUUUUCUUCCAAUGUUAUCUUGUAUUCACAGAAUUUAUAUCUAUUUAUAUUUUGAAUUUUAUAUAAAAUAUGUGCUCACAUAUCAAUUUUUGUAAUUGAAUUGAAUAUAUGCCUCACAUCCACAUCUAUACUUUGAUACUCCAUUAUACUCAAGCAAUUACUAUUUACAUGGAAAUCUAAGGUAAUUUCUCUUGUUUUGUCAUUUAUUGCAUAUAUAUUAUAGUUGGUACAAUAUUUUCUCCUAUUUAAUUUUGAGUUUGUUGUUUUUAUCAGAUCUAAGAGUGAAGCGAUGUUCAGUUUAUUGAUUGUCAUUUCAAGUUUCGUAUGGCAAAAUUUGACACAAUUUUUUGCGACUGUGAUUUCUUUGAUUAAAUGCAGGUAAUCGAAUAUACAUAAAUCUCCUUUAUUUUAAUCGAUGUAAAUAAUUUGAAUUAUUGUUUUUAUUUAGAUAAUUAAUUUCAAACUAUUUUUUGUUUGAAAUUUUUCUAUUUGAUGACAUGAUUAAGUGAUCUGCAAACGAUAUUGUAUAUAUCUUUCUAUAAGAUAUACAUUUUUUUUACUAUGUAUAUAAUACAUAUUUUAAGUAGUAAUUUUCGCAUGAAGGGAGUGGAUUAUAAGCACCACUUUUUAUUUUUGGUUAGAUUUAUAAUUGGUAUAUUAUGUAAGUCAAAUUCAAUCCUUUUGUUAAUUUUAGUAUAAAUGUAUGUUGUUAAUUAUAAAUUAUUGAACACAAUAUUUAAAAUUAAUAUUUUUUAUAGGGAUGGUUCUGAUGAAACCACUACACUGUUCUUUUCUGGCCAUUUGACAUAAAUAUUACUUUUAUGCAUCAUUAAAAAGAUAAUUUAUUAUAAGAAUUGAGAGGGUCACGGUAAAAAAAAAAAAUCUACUGUAACAUUCAAUUUUUAAUGAUAUCUCUUUAUUUGUCACUAUAAUUACUUUCAACUACAAAUAGAGGGUGACAUAUUCUAAUUUAUAUAAUAACUUAAAAAAAAAAAGUAAAAUAUUCACUUAUUCUCUUUCUUUC
rnacentral:lncRNA from 1 species